rnacentral:rRNA from 1 species
UUUAACGGCCGCGGUACUCUGACCGUGCGAAGGUAGCAUAAUCACUUGUUCUUUAAAUGGGGACUUGUAUCAACGGCAUCACGAGGGCCAUACUGUCUCCUUUUUCCAAUCAGUGAAACUGAUCUUCCCGUGAAGAAGCGGGAAUUAACCUAUAAGACGAGAAGACCCCAUGGAGCUUUAAACCCAACAACAAGUCUAAAUAAACAUACCAUAAAAAUUAAUGACACCUGAACUGUUGGUUUUAGGUUGGGGUGACCGCGGAGUAUAAACUAACCUCCACGACGAACGGGACUAAACCCUUAUCUACGAGCCACCGCUCUAAGAAUCAGCACACUGACUUCUAAUGAUCCGAUAUUCGAUCAACGAACCAAGUUACCCUGGGGAUAACAGCGCUAUCCAUUUCAAGAGCUCCUAUCGACAAAUGGGUUUACGACCUCGAUGUUGGAUCAGGGUAUCCUAGUGGUGCAGCCGCUACUAAAGGUUUGUUUGUUCAACAAUUAAAACCCUAC